UUUUCGGAGAGUUUGAUCCUGGCUCAGGACGAACGCUGGCGGCAUGCCUAAUACAUGCAAGUCGAACGAACUAGAGGUUAGAGAUUAGAGGUUAGAAGUUAGACGCAGGAGUUUUCCUCGUUCUAACAUCUGACUUCCAACCUCUAACUUCUAGUUAGUGGCGGACGGGUGAGUAACGCGUGGGCAACCUGCCCCAAAGCUCGGGAUAACACUCCGAAAGGAG
rnacentral:rRNA from 1 species